CUGGGUCCCCGCAAAUCCAACUCCACUCCAACCACCCCACCCCGAUACAAAGCGAUCUUGGCUCCCAGGGCUCCAGGCUGUCCUACCAGAGGUGAGGAGUGGUUAAAACUCAGCCCUCACCUCCAGCGGGUCCCGGGCUCCACGGCGCCCAGGCCCCGCCCCCGCCCGCCCUUCCCCCACGGCCUCCGCACGCCAGCCCCUCUCCCCUCUCCCCUUCGGGCGCACCCACCCCAGAUGCCGCCUGGCACCGAGCACAACCGCCGCCGUCGCCGCAGCACUUUCCACUUGUAUUGAUCACCUCUCAGCUCUGCUCAGCCUGCUCGCCGGAGCGGAGCGCGGCCAGCGCGCCAGCCCUUGGCAGCCCCGGCGCAGUCGGGCUCCGGGAGGAAACUCCUUGGGAGCGCCCUGUCCGGGGUGCCCUCUGCGCUCUGCAGUGUCUUUCUCUCUGCCUGGGAGGAGGAGGAGGAGGAGGACGUCUGGUCCCGGCUGGGAGGUGGAGCAGCGGCAGCAGCAGCCGCCGAGGCAGCCGCCGCCGCCUCCGGAAAGGGAGAGGCAGGAGAGAUCGAGACUUGGAAACCCCAAAGUGUUCGCGACCCUGCACGGCAGGCUCCCUUCCAGCUUCAUGGGCAAAGUGUGGAAACAGCAGAUGUACCCUCAAUACGCCACCUACUACUACCCCCAGUAUCUGCAAGCGAAGGUAAAGGGGCGCGGGGGGGAGGGUAGAUGAGGAGGG
rnacentral:lncRNA from 1 species